CCCCCCUUAAGGGUCGACUCCCAGGCGACCCACGACAAACAAAAAAAAAAAAGAAGUCAAACCCAAAACGGGUGGGUGGAGGGGCGCCAGGAGGGGGGAAUCAAAAAAAUGGACUGCGGCAGAGCCGAGGGACGUCAGGCGGGCGUCCAGAAAACUACCCCAGGGCAUGGCAGGGAGCCUCAGGCGGACGGCCUGGGGGGCAAGCAGAGGCAGAGUGAAGGCGGAACCCUUCAGGAGGCCGGCGGCAAGGACGAUGAGGGCUCAGUCCCUCAGGAGACCUGCAGUGGCACAGAACCCCCUCAGAAGACCGGCAGCGGUGAAGGCGGAACCCUUCAGGAGGCCGGCGAAGGCGAGGUAGAGGGCGGGUCCCCUUAAGAGGAAGGCCAGGUAGAGGGCGGGUCCCCUCAGGAGGCAGGCCAGGUAGAGGGCGGGGCCCGCCCUCUACCUGGCCUU
ensembl:lncRNA